rnacentral:antisense_RNA from 1 species
GGGGGAGAAUGGGCAUCCCACCCCAGCACUUUCUAGGAAGAAGGGCAACAUUUUGAAGGGCUGGAAGUAGAGAAAGAAGGUUGCGGGUAGAAGACUCCAUACUUUCUGUGACGCCUAUUCCUUAGGAGAGCUUUUAUAUAACCAAAGAUAUUUUUGGACCAUGAAUUCGGAAAUUCUCGGAGCCACCCAUCAAUGCCUGAGCUUCAGUGAGUCCAUAUCCCAUGUCACCUACGGCAAAGGAGAAUCUGAGACUUCUGAAGAGUUUCUUGCUUCUUUCCUGUGGGGCAGUGACUCCACUUCCCAGCAGUAAUGGAAUAUCCUGAAUUAGCUACAUUAAUGUUAGAACCAUUUGGACCUCACCCAGGACUUCAACUACAUUGUGAGUAACUCCUGGACGACUGGCACAGAAGAAGGCACAAGGUUCUAGUAUGUUAGGUUUAUGUUCCCCUGCUUUCUACAAUCCUGUUCAAAGAGUUGCUGACUUAACCACAGAGAGAAUUCCAGAACAUGAGACACAGAAUAAACUUGAACAAUCAUAGUCCAUCCACUUCAUUUUCUCAUCGAAAACCAAAGGUCCAGUGAGGCUCUGGAACUCGACGCUGUAAAGGAGCGAAGGAGCAUCUAUACAGAACCUGGAUGCCUGUCUCCUUAUCCU